AUACGGAGGAUGCGAGCGUUAUCCGGAUUUAUUGGGUUUAAAGGGAGCGUAGGUGGGAUAUUAAGUCAGCUGUGGAAGUUUGGGGCUCAACCUUAAAAUUGCAGUUGAUACUGGUUUCCUUGAGUACGGUAUAGGUGGGCGGAAUUCGUGGUGUAGCGGUGAAAUGCUUAGAUAUCACGAAGAACUCCGAUCGCGAAGGCAGCUCACCGGGCCGGAACUGACACUGAUGCUCGAAAGUGCGGGUAUCAAACAGGAUUAGAUACCCUGGUAGUCCGCACAGUAAACGAUGAAUACUCGCUGUUUGCGAUACACUGUAAGCGGCCAAGCGAAAGCGUUAAGUAUUCCACCUGGGGAGUACGCCGGCAACGGUGAAACUCAAAUGAAUUGACGGGG
rnacentral:rRNA from 1 species